CGGGAGGCAGCAGUGAGGAAUAUUGGGCAAUGGAGGCAACUCUGACCCAGCCAUGCCGCGUGCAGGAAGACGGCCCUAUGGGUUGUAAACUGCUUUUAUGACGGGAAGAAACCCAACUACCGCCACGUUGCGUCGCGCGAGCCGUGAGAAUCAGCGCC
rnacentral:rRNA from 1 species